GUUUUGGUCGUUUCGGUCUCCCACAUUUUUAUUUUUAUUUUUUUUUGAAUGAAUGAAUAAAGAAAAUCCGGACACAACUGGACACCAAGAUGGAAAUAAAGCAAAGUCCUCUAAUGUGCCUCUUUAUUUAAAGAAAAUAAAAAUGUCAUUUAAUCAUCCUCCCAGGCCAAACAAGGUUUUUGCACCUCCAGUCAGUUCACUCUCUGUUGGGGAUAGACGUGUACUGUAGCAGAAGAAAAGGCUGAUGCUGUUUGUACAAGGAGAAGAGCUCGUCUUGUUGGGUGCUGCUCACACAUUCAUAGUGCCUGUGCCAUCGGGUAUGGCUCCAAAGGACCAAAGAAUUACUAAUAUUGCACACUCUCAUUUAUUCAUCUCCAUUCUAAACAUGCUUUCCUAUGUGUGUAUGUAUACAUAUUUACCGUAUACAUACAUAGGUAUGUACACCUAGGCACACACAUAAUUAAACAUGUAUAAUUGUACAUAUAUAUUUAUAUAGACCUAUAAAUUUACAUGUACAUACAUUUAUAAAAUUUUAUACACACAUACACACUUGCUCUCCAACACACACACACACACACACUCACACAAUGCAUCUGUGAGUCUAUGUUUGUUUUAUGUACACAUGCGCACAGGCACGCACAUCAGUACGGAUCGCUCACACAUACGCGCGCGUACGCACACGCACUUCAUAUCGAAAAAACGUUGGUUCCUAUUAAAACAACACCAGGUUGCAAUUUGGACACUUUCAAUGGAAUUCAAAUGUUUGUUUAAAGCUGUGAAAUUCAAAAAAUAUAUAUAAUAAAAGGAGGGAAAACGAAAAAAAUAAAAGAACGAAAAAAAAAAAAAAAAAGGCAUGGCGCUGCAACAUCUGGUCUUCACUGCAGAAAAAACUAAACUCUACAGAGAAAGUCCCCUACCUGCAGUCUUUCGCUGCCGAUAGAGUUUGACAUCAAGCUGUACAGCGCAGUUGAAAACAUACUUACAUCUGAGCUCAUUUACAGGUACAGCCAUAAUCAAGGCACAAAGAUCUACAAGUAGAUUUGUUUUUCUUUCAAUUAAGUUGUACAAAAUAAUAUUACAUUUUACAGUCUGUACAGGAUAAUUCAACCUUGCACAGUGUACAAGUUAACAAAAACCCCCCCAAAAAACCAAAAACAAAACAAUACAUUUUUUUUCUCUCCCGUCCCACCCACCCUCCUCCCC
ensembl:lncRNA